CAUGCAAGUCGAACGAGGAUAUAUCCUUCGGGAUAUAAGCCGAGUGGCACAAGGGUGAGCAAUGCAUAGAUUACCUACCUUUAGGAUAGGGGCAACUUUGUGAAAACGGAGCUAAUACUUAAUAAUACAAAAGAAAAUAAUUUUCUUUUGUCAAAGGGAGGGUAGCAAUACCUUUCGCCUCGAGAGGGGUUUAUGUCCUAUCAGCUUGUUGGUGGGGUAAUAGCCUAUCAAGGCGAAGACGGGUAGCCGGUUUAAGAGGAUGGUCGGCCACACUGGGACUGAGACACUGCCCAGACUUCUACGGAAGGCUGCAGUCGAGAAUCUUUCGCAAUGCCCGAAAGGGUGACGAAGCGACGCCGCGUGGGUGAAGAAGGCCUUCGGGUUGUAAAGCCCUGUCAGGAGUUAUGAAAUGUAAGUGCGCUAAUAACGUGCUUAUUUGACAAAGGCUCCAAAGGAAGCCACGGCUAACUCUGUGCCAGCAGCCGCGGUAAUACAGAGGUGGCGAGCGUUGUUCGGAAUUAUUGGGCGUAAAGAGCACGUAGGUGGGUUUGCAAGUCAGAUGUGAAAGCCUUCUGUUCAACGGAAGAAUUGUAUCUGAAACUGCUAGUCUUGAGUAUAGGAGGGGAGAAUGGAACUUCUGGUGGAGCGGUGAAAUGCGUAGAUGUCAGAAGGAACGCCGGCGGCGAAAGCGAUUCUCUGGCCUAUUACUGACACUCAGUGUGCGAAAGCUAGGGGAGCGAACGGGAUUAGAUACCCCGGUAGUCCUAGCCGUAAACGAUGGGCACUAAGUAGAGGGGAUUACCUAUAUUCUCUCUGCCGUAGCUAACGCAUUAAGUGCCCCGCCUGGGGAGUACGGCCGCAAGGCUAAAACUCAAAAGAAUUGACGGGGGGCUCGCACAAGCGGUGGAGCAUGUGGCUUAAUUCGAUGCAACGCGAAAAACCUUACCGGGGGCUUGACAUGAUAGAAGUAGGAACCUGAAAGGGGGACGAACGGUAUCCAGUCCGUAGCUAUUACAGGUGUUGCAUGGCUGUCGUCAGCUCGUGUCGUGAGACGUGGGUUAAGUCCCCUAACGAGCGAAACCCUUGUUUUUAGUUACCAGCGGGUUAUGCCGGGUACUCUAGAAAGACUGCCGUCGUCAAGACGGAGGAAGGUGGGGAUGACGUCAAGUCAUCAUGGCCCUUAUGCCCCGGGCUGCACACGUGCUACAAUGGUCGGUACAGACGGAAGCGAAGCCGAGAGGUGAAGCGAAUCCUAAAAAGCCGAUCUCAGUUCGGAUUGGAGGGCUGAAAUUCGCCUCCAUGAAGUUGGAAUCGCUAGUAAUCGCGGAUCAGCAAUGUCGCGGUGAAUAUGUUCCCGAGCCUUGUACACACCGCCCGUCAAGCCACCCAAGCGGGAUGCACCCGAAAACAUUAUAUCUAACCAGGGCAACUUGGAGGAAAAUGUUGAAGGAGUGUUUUGUGAGGAGGACUAAGUCGUAACAAGGUAGUCGUAGGAGAACCUGCGGCUGGAUCACCUCCUUUCU
rnacentral:rRNA from 1 species